CAAGAGCCGACGGUAAUUGGGGGGUUCCGAGAUAUUGUUUCUGUGGAACCCUAGUUAGGCUUGUCGUGUGUACCACUGGAGAUAAUCAAGGAAGAAAGGAAUACAAAUGUCCAAAUUCUGAGGAUGGUGGAGAACACUUGCAUAAGUGGUGGGAUCAUGCAGUUGAUGAGGAGUUUCGUGUGAUACAUACCAAACUUGAAACUCAGAAAGAAGCAAUCCACCACGCUUACCAAAAUCCUAUGUUGGAGUCAAUUCGUCAAUCCAUACGGGAUAUGCGUGCUCAAAUCGAAGAUCUUCAGAAGCGAGCAGUGGAGAGAGAAACCGAGAUUGGUAGGCUGAAGGAGUUGCUAUCUAAGUGGUAGUAAUAACCACUUAUGUAUUUAUGUAUUUCUCUAAAUCUUUGUAGACUUCUUAUGUUUGUAAUAACCCUAUGUAGACUAAUCUCCUUUAUUUCCUAUUAGUUUCUUAAGUUUGAACUA